rnacentral:lncRNA from 1 species
GCUGAGCCUGGAGACAGCCAGCAGAAGGGACCUGAAGCUUGUGGACAUGCUGGCUGGCUGGCUGCUUUCUUCUGGAGCCCUUGGUUUCUUAAACGAUAAUGAAUGAAAGAUCCAAAUCUGUCCCACACAGGUAAUCUUUGCCA